AAGUUGACCUCAAAUCAGUAAGAUGCC
rnacentral:rRNA from 1 species